AUUGAACGAUGGCGGCAGGCUUAACACAUGCAAGUCGAGCGGGGUGAUGGUGCUUGCACUAUCACUUAGCGGCGGACGGGUGAGUAAUGCUUAGGAAUCUGCCUAUUAGUGGGGGACAACAUCUCGAAAGGGAUGCUAAUACCGCAUACGUCCUACGGGAGAAAGCAGGGGAUCACUUGUGACCUUGCGCUAAUAGAUGAGCCUAAGUCGGAUUAGCUAGUUGGUGGGGUAAAGGCCUACCAAGGCGACGAUCUGUAGCGGGUCUAAGAGGAUGAUCCGCCACACUGGGACUGAGACACGGCCCAGACUCCUACGGGAGGCAGCAGUGGGGAAUAUUGGACAAUGGGGGGAACCCUGAUCCAGCCAUGCCGCGUGUGUGAAGAAGGCCUUAUGGUUGUAAAGCACUUUAAGCGAGGAGGAGGCUCUUUUGGUUAAUACCCAAGAUGAGUGGACGUUACUCGCAGAAUAAGCACCGGCUAACUCUGUGCCAGCAGCCGCCGUAA
rnacentral:rRNA from 1 species